GCGUACUUAGCUCAAUGGUUAGAGCAUCACUCAUGAAUGAUGAGAUUGUGGGUUUGAGUCCCACAGUGCACA
rfam:Puccinia sorghi strain RO10H11247 Scaffold_2542, whole genome shotgun sequence.